rnacentral:rRNA from 1 species
GACGAACGCUGGCGGCGUGCUUAACACAUGCAAGUCGAACGGGAGUAUUGAAGAAGCUUGCUUUAGAGAUACUUUAGUGGCGGACGGGUGAGUAACGCGUGAGGAGCUGUCCGAUGCAGGGGGACAACAGUUGGAAACGACUGCUAAUACCCCAUAAGCCGAGAGGUAAAAGGAUUUAUCCGGCAGAGGAGGUACUCGCGUCCUAUCAGCUAGUAGGUGAGGUAACGGCUCACCUAGGCGAAGACGGGUAGCCGGCCUGAGAGGGCGAACGGCCACACUGGAACUGAGAUACGGUCCAGACUCCUACGGGAGGCAGCAGUGGGGAAUAUUGGGCAAUGGGGGGAACCCUGACCCAGCGACGCCGCGUAGGGUGAAGAAAUCCUUCGGGAUGUAAAGCCCUGUUCGUAUGGGAAGAGCGGAAGACGGUACCAUACGAGGAAGCCCCGGCAAACUACGUG